rnacentral:rRNA from 1 species
UACGUAGGGUGCAAGCGUUAAUCGGAAUUACUGGGCGUAAAGCGUGCGCAGGCGGUUGUGCAAGACAGAUGUGAAAUCCCCGGGCUUAACCUGGGAAUUGCAUUUGUGACUGCACGGCUAGAGUGUGUCAGAGGGGGGUAGAAUUCCACGUGUAGCAGUGAAAUGCGUAGAUAUGUGGAGGAAAACCGAUGGCGAAGGCAGCCCCCUGGGAUAACACUGACGCUCAUGCACGAAAGCGUGGGGAGCAAACAGG